GGCGGGGAGUUUGCACGGUCUGCAGAUCAGCCCCAGUGAGUGUGAGCAUCUGGCGGGGUGCCGAGGAGAGACAGUGAGCAGCGAUGGCAGAGAUGGGCUCACACCUCUGAAUCACAACUCCACUUCCAGCCGAGCAUCUGUGUCUGAGACCUGGGACCAGUAGUUUUGGAGGGACUUUGCUUUGUUGUGUGCGCACAGAGACUGGAAGGAGGCUGUAGCAACCCAAAAGAAAAAAAAAAGAAGAAGAAGAAGAAGAAGAGAGGAAGGCUGUAGUUGCAUUUCGACGCACUCUUGUCGUCUCACCUGCACGGUGGUAGAGGUCCGCUGUGAUAAGAAUGCAUCCAGAUAAAUACUUACCUGAACUGGUGGCGGAGAAAAGCAGCCUGGACCCCUCCUUUGUGCAUGCCGUGCGUCUGCUUGCAGAAGAAAUUGAAAAGUAUGAAGGUGAAGAUUCGAGAAAAGAUGGUGACAUGAAGAAAUACCUAGAUAUCAUCAGCAAUAAAAAUAUCAAGCUCUCCGAAAGAGUUCUUAUUCCUAUCCAACAGUAUCCAAAGUUUAAUUUUGUUGGGAAGCUGCUGGGACCACGGGGAAAUUCCAUGAAACGAUUACAAGAGGAAACGGGAGUGAAGAUGUCCAUCCUGGGUAAAGGGUCCAUGAGGGAUAAAGAAAAGGAGGAAGAAUUGAGGAAAAGCGGAGAGGCCAAAUACGCCCAUUUGAGUAAUGAUCUUCACGUUUUAAUUGAAGUCUUCGCUCCACCUGGGGAAGCUUAUUCCCGCAUGAGCCACGCCUUGGAGGAGAUUAAAAAAUUCCUAGUUCCAGACUACAAUGACGAGAUCAGACAGGAGCAACUGAGGGAGCUCUCCCUGUUGAAUGGUUCUGAUGAAUCUAGCAGGAGGAGCACACAAGCAAGGAGCGUACGACCAGCAACCACAGUAUCCACGAGGGGCCACAGAGGCACAGGAAGAAGCUCAGUGGCACCCAGGGGGACGGCAGGAGCCACGCACAGCAAACUUCCCACAACUGCUUUAACGAGGGAGGUACAAGCUCCGAGAGCCAGGGGGGCAGCAGCGAGCACUGGAUACAGGCCGCCGCUGCUAGCGGUCACACAUGAAUCAUACGACGACUAUGGCUACGACGACGGAUACGGAGGUGAAUAUGACGACGACAGUUACGAAGCCUACGAGGAUAACUACAGUAAUCAGUCCAAGAGCAUUUCAGAUUAUUACGAGUACGGACACGGAACCAGUGAUGAAUCUUAUAAUAACUAUGAAGAAGAGUGGCCGACCACCCGUCCCAGUCUCAAAGCCCCAGUUUUACGGCUGACAAGAGGGGGCUUCAGAAAACAUCCUUAUGCUGUAGGAGAACGUAACGGAGUGAACCGGUCUUUGAAGAGACAGACAUGAACAGAUUUGGAAUCAGCGCACCUUUUUUAGAGCAAAAGACACAGGAACCUGCACCUGUGGACUGAAGAUUGUACUCAUCAGGCAUGUCAUCAGGUCCACUGUCAGUCAGAAAAGCAGAAAAACUGCUUGGUACGUGCCUCAUGUUGAUAUGAAUAAACUCACCUUAAUUAAAAUGAAACAGAUUUUCUGAGCAUGAAAAAAGAUCAGCUGUUGUAUAAUAAAAACAGACUACAUUGCUGCUUGUUUUUCAAGGCUGUUCUCUUCUGUCUCUAUUAAGGCUCUAAGGAUAACACUGUAAAUUAGAAAUAUUGCCUCUGAAUUCAGUCCUUGGAAAGUGUGAAUGUAAGUCCUUUUUCAUUUCAAUGGUUUUUACCCUAUUACGUUCGGUUUGUGUCUUGGUUCAUAAAACUAACACUUGUGUUUAUCUGCACCCAUGAGUUGGAAGUGAUCAGCUUUUCUGGAAACUCGGUGCCAGUGAUGUUCAUGCAGCGUUUGCCAAAAGCACUCUCAGAUCCAUUUUCAUAUCCAGCCUGCCGCCAGCCUAAAACUGGCCAAGAGCUGAAUCCUAAAGCCUGCUACGGAUGUUGAUGCAUUUCUUAAAGUGAAUACCACUGAUACUAACCCUCUCACAUUCAGAUUACAAAAAAUAUCAUUACUUAUACCAUGAAAUGUUUUUUUUUUUUUUCCUUGGUUUGCACACAGACUCAAAAUCCUGGGGUGUAACCUGUUUAAAGCACUGCCCUUGCAUAGCGCUGCCAUUAGUCAACACAUGGAUCUACUGUGAUUCAUUUCCAUUACGCAGUCCUGGGUUGCAGCCUUGAGUCUACAAAAAAACGAGAAAAAAAAAAGAGAAUAAAAAACCUGGCAGGUGUUUCUUUGUGAGCUUGCCAAGAUUGUCACCAUUGGCAACAUUGUUUAUGCAGUCAUCACACUGUUAGCAGAAUACGCAUUAGUGUAUUUAGUGAAAUCUCUUCGCUUAUGCAUCUGUUUUUAUGACCAAAAUGAACAUGCAUCCUGCUUAUAUUAACCCGUUCUAUUGCACACACAGAUGAAUCUGGAUUUGGACAGAAAGACAGUGAAAUAACGACGGCAAAAAAAACUGACAAAUAGGUUUUUUAUUAAUACGAAGAAAGGAGGCAAACCAAAGACUUUUCAUUCCGGCUGUACAAUAAACAGUGUUGAGCUAAACACACUAUGAUGUUAUUUUAUGUGUAUUUUCAUGUCAAUUAAAAUCUUCAGGAAUUCA